UUUUUGAACAUAAUUAGGUUUUGGGGCUUAAUUCAUUCUGAGCCUUUAAUCAUGCUGGCCAACCAAUUUGUAAUUGGUUUUUGGAUGGGAAAUGGAUAUUGUCGAGACAAGCCUUUGCAAUUACAUCAAAAUAACAUUUCACAAGGUUCUUAUUGAAUACCAGAAAUUGCACUUCCUCAGAAUGGCAAAUCACAGAGAUGCAGGCUAGCACUGCUCAAGAGCAUUGGUGAUCUUUGAAGAUUCACAAAUCUAGGUUUGAAUUUCCAUCCUAGGCCAAGCGCGGGGGGUGGCUUAUGCCUGUUAAUCCUAGCACUUUGGGAGGCCGAGGUGGGCAGAUCACUUGAGGUCAGGAAUUCGAGACCAGCCUGGCCAACAUGGUGAAAACCCGUUUCUACUAAAUAUACAAAAAUUAGCCAGGUGUGGUGGUGGGCACCAGUAAUCCUAGCUACUGGGGAGUCUGAGGCAGGAGAAUUACUUGAACCCUGGAGGCGGAGGUUGCAGUGAGCUGAGAUCGUGCCACUGCACUCCAGCAUGGAUGACAUAGCAAAACUCCAUCUCAAAAAAAUAAAAAUAAAAAUUCCAUCCUGCACUUGCUAGCUGAGUGAUCUUAGGCAGGUUAUGUACCUUUCUGAGUCAUUUUUUUUAUAAACUAAAAUAAAUAUAAGUACCUACCACACAAAGCUGACACGUGACACAAGGAUAACUACAUGAGAUAAUGCAGCACCUUGAGCCCUUAGAAGAAUACUUGAUAUUCAAUAACCCUUGGUGGCAGUCAAUUAAGAAAAAAAUCUGCAGUACUUAAGCAGUACAAAUUAUUUUUUUAAAAAAGGAGUAUAUAGGCCCGGCGCGGUGGCUCACGCCUGUAAUCCCAGCACUUUGGGAGGCUGAGGCAGGCAGAUCACCUGAGGUCAGGAGUUCAAGACCAGCCUGGCCAACAAGAUGAAACCCUGUCUCUACAAAAAUACAAAUUAGCCAGGCAUGAUGGUGGGUGCCUGUAAUCCCAGCUACUCGGGAGGCUGAGGCGGGAGAAUCGCUUGAACCCGGGAGUCGGAGGUUUCAGUGAGCCGAGAUCGUGCCAUUGCACUCCAGCCUGGGUGACUGAGCGAGUCGACUCCAUCUCCAAAAAAUAAUAAUAAUAAUAAAAGAGAGUAUAUAAUGCAGUGUGGGAAAUAUGGCUUUUACAGGAUAACAGUAAGGGAAGUCUCCCUCUUCAAUAUCAAGGCAAUUUUUUCUUAGUAAAGGUGUAAAAGCAAUGAGAAAGUUUUACAAGAAAAGAAAGGAAAAACUGAAUUUAUAAAACAUAUCAGUGCUUUCAGUAAACAUGUUCAAAUGAUUGUGUUUUCUAAAAUAGAAAUGAAGUUGUUCUUCCAACCUCUGAAUUUUAUCAUUUUAUGUUUUGGAUCAGAAACGUGUGACAAAAACACAAGCUAAGUCAGAGGUGUGAUUUUUUGCUUUACAACCCAGGGCAUCUCUGUACCAUCAAAAGAAUAUAUUCCAAGAAGGUUAGCAUCUAACUGAAGGAAACUUAGGUGUGACACUGAGAGACUUCAUAGCAGGAGAUGAAAGCUUUGAAGGAAGGCAUUCUGCUAGAGGGGUCAGCAAACUCCAGCCUGAGAGCCAAGUGCAGUCUGCCACCUGUUUUGGUAUGACUGGUGAGGAAAGAAAGGGGAAAAUGAUUUUAUACUUUUAAAUGGAAAAAAAAAUUAAAAGAUACUUCAUAACAUGUAAAAUUGUAUGAAAUUCAAAUUUCAGUGUGCAGAAGUUAAGUUUAAGGAUUGUUUAGGUAUUGGCUGUCUACGGCUGCUUCCCACUACAAUGGCAGAAUUGAUUAGUUGUGAUGGAGACUGUAUGGCCCACAAAGCCAAAAAUAUGUACUGUCUGGCCCUUUACAGAAUAAGUUUGCUGACGACCACUGAGUUAGAGAUAACCUUAACUGGAAAGUAAUAUAUUCAACUAUUUUAGUAAUUUUAAAAUGAAGAUGGCUUUCCUAAGCACACAAAUUCAAUGCAGUUAUUAAAAAUGGAGUAGACUUGUAUUUAUUAACAUCAAAAGAUGUUACUACAUUGUUAAAUAUAAAAAGGGCAGAUUAUAGGACAGAUAACAUAGUAUGUGGUCACUUUUUUUUUUUUUUUUUUGAGAUGAAGUGUUGCUGUGUCGCCCAGGCUGGAGUACAGUGGCACGGUCUGGGCUCACUGCAAGCUCCGCCUCCCAGGUUCAAGCCAUUCUCCUGCCUCAGCCUCCCAAGUAGCUGGAAUUACAGGCACCCACUACCACGCCCUGCUAAUUUUUUGUAUUUUUAGUAGAGACGGGGUUUCACCAUGCUGGCCAGGCUGGUCUUGAACUCCUGAUCUCGUGAUCCGCCCACCUUGGCCUCCCAAAGUGCUGGGAUUACAGGUGUGAGCCACCACGCCUGGCUAAUGGUCACAUUUUUAAAAGUAUAAAAAUAGAUUGAUUAAUAGGUUGAUAGGAAAAGGGUGAUAAUUAACAUUUUACCACCAGUAGGCAAGGACACUAAACAACCAGCGUGCUGGUAGGUACCUGUAAUCCCAGCUACUUGGGAGGCUGAGGCAGGAGAAUUGCUUGAACCCAGGAGGUGGAGGUAGCAGUGAGCAGAGAUCGUGCCAGUGCACUCCAGCCUAGGCAACAGAGUGAGACUCUGUCUCAAAAAACCCACAAAAAUAAAUACAAAUAAAAAAUAAAAAUAAAUACCUGACAUGGCUAUUUAUUAGCGUGCUUGAAAACCAGUCCUGCAUAGAGCUACACAUGCAUAAAAAUUAUUUGGGAGAAUACACAAUAAAAUGUUAACAAUUACUAUCUCUAAGUGGUGCGAUUAUGGAUGAUUUUUUCACUUUUCUUCUUUAUUUAGUCAUACCUUUCUAUAUUUUCAUAUGCUUCUUUUCUUUUUGAGACAGAGUCCCAUGCUGUUGCCCAGGCUGGAGUACAGUGGCAUGAAUCUCGGCUCACUGCAACCUCUGCCUCCCGGGUUCAGGCGAUUCUACUGCCUCAGCCUCCCAAGUAGUUGGGAUUACAGGCGUGCGCCACCAGGCCUGGCUGAUUUUUGUAUUUUUAGUAGAGACAGGGUUUCACCAUGUUAGCCAGGCUGGUCUCAAACUCCUAAACUCAAGUGAUCUGCCUGCCUCAGCCUCCCAAAGUGCUGGGAUUACAGGCUUGAGCCACCAUGCCUGGCCCUGAUGGGUUUCUUUUAUCUUUUAUACAAAAUUGAAAGCAUACUAUGGUGUUUGACUAGUUUUUCCUUAAUAUUCAAACAAGAUAAUAUAUUAUCUUUCUUUGAAAAUAUUAUCAUCAAUGGGCACCUAAUUAUAAUAUGAGGAUCUAUCAUAACUUAUUUCUUCCCAUAUUUCUUCCAAUAUACAUAUUGGAAACAAGGGGUUUUUUUGUGGCUUAUAAAUUACCUUUUGAAAAACAUCCUUUUAUGAAAGUCAUCUCUGCUUUGGGAUAGUUUUCUAGGAGUACAUUUUUAAGUCAUCAAGUUUUUAAACUUUUUUUUUUUUGAGACAAGGUCUCACUAUAUUGCCCAGGCUGGAUUUGAACUCUGAGGCUCAAGUGAUUCUCUUGCCUCAACCUACCCAGUAGCUGGCACUACAGGUGUGCAUUACCAUACCUGGUUAUGACCGGUUUUUAAUGACUCUUGAAAUGUAUUACCAAAUUGCUUUCCAGAGAGGCUCUCCCAAUAAUGUCAAAUCUUAUCUAGUCUUACAGUUGCAAAUUGAUAGUAGUAUAGUUUUAAAAAAUUAUCCAUUUUCUAGUUUUAAUUUAUAUUUGAGAAAUAGUUUCAUUGGAUAAUUUUUAUGUGUAUUGGCCAUAUAAAUGGCAUUUUGAUGGCAAAUGCUAUAAUAGCACUAUACUAAUGACUAUUAUCCAACAAAUCAAUUAUGGGCCAGAAGUUUUAAUAACAGUAAGUUUUUAAGGAAAAACUUUAUGACUUUUAUUUCUAUUAAAAUUUUUUUUAAAAAAACCACACUUUUUCGAAUUGACUCAAGACAUUAAAAAAAGAAAUUUUUUUCCCCAAAAUUGUAAUAAAUAGCCUUCUAUCAGUCCACAAGAUGGGAGUAUUCUGAUCUUACAAUAUUUUAGCUUCAGUUGCUAAAAGUGGCAGUUUUUAGUUUUCAUAUUAAGCUUGUAUCAGAUCCCUUCUGCAAAGUCAUUAAGAAAAAAAUAAUUAUAUUCAAUUUAUAGCUCAUAAUAGUUUCCAUUCACAUGUUUGUAAGUUCACAGUCAAAAGGACUUUCUACUUCUAUGGAAUAUUUUUCAUGCAGUUAAUAUGUGGUAGCAUCAGGUAACUGCAGUACAUGUUUACUUUAAAAAAAUAAUAAUAACUUUGGCCAGGCACGGUGGCUCACAUCUGUAAUCCCAGCACUUUAGGAGGCCAAGGCCGGUGGAUAGGUUGAGCCCAGGAGUCCAAGACCAGCUGGGGCCACGUGGCGAAAACCUGUCUCUACUAAAAAUCCAAAAAUUAGUCAGGUGUGGUAGUGCACAUCUGUAGUCCUAGCUACUCACAAGGCUGUGGUGGGAGGAUUGAUUGAGCCUGGGAGGUUGAGGCUGCAGUGAGCUGCAAUCAUGCCAAUGCACUCCAGCCUGAGGGACAGAGGGAGACCCUGUCUCAAAGCAAAACGAAACAAAAAAGCACACACACAAAGAAACCCCUAAAAAACUAAAAAAACUUAGCUGGACAUGAUGGUGUGUGCCUAUAGUUCCAGCUACUCACAGGCUAAGGCUGGAGGAUCGCUUGAGCUCAGGAGUUUGAGGCUGCAGUGAGCUGUGAUGGCGCCACUGCACUAUAGUCUAGGUGACAGAGCAAGACCCUGUCUCUUAAAAAAAAAAUUAACUUUUAUGCUUAGGCUUACAUGCUUUAAUAAACAGUGACUUAGAAAUAUCAGGGGAACAGGCCGGGUGCAGUGGCUCAUGCCUGUAAUCCCAGCACUUUGGGAGGCUGAGGCGGGCAGAUCACGAGGUCAGGAGUUCAAGACCAGCCUGGCCAACAUAGUGAAACCCCGUCUCUACUAAAAAUACAAAAAUUAGCUGGGCAUGAUGGUGGGCGCCUGUAGUCCCAGCUACUUGGGAGGCUGAGGCAGGAGAAUCCCUUGAACCCAGGAGGUGGAGGUUGCAGUGAGCCGAGAUUGUGCCACUGCACUCUAGCCUGGGUGACACAGCGAGACUGUCUCAGAAAAAAAAAAGAAAGAAGUAUCAGGGGAACAAACUUGUGAAAGAAACAGACAUACGUGAACCUUUCUCAUCAAACCUUAACAGCUAUCAAUCACCAUUUAUAUAAAACUGGUACCAUCUCCAAUCUCAAGUGUUCUUUUCCACAUUUCUGGAAAUUUUACCUUAGAAUCACUAGUUCUUUGGUUGGCCUUUCUAUUUCUACUUCAUGUGGGCUACUAAUCCUGGUUAAAACUCUUAUAUGUACGGUAAUGGAAUCAACGGCUUCGACUGUCUUUUUUUUAGCAAGCCCUGAUCAACUAGGAAUACGACCACUUACAAUUGGCUACUCUCUUUUCUCUUAUUCAACAAAAGCAAAAACCAGGAGGCAUGUGUAGCUGACCUUACACAGCAACCAACUUUCCAACACUCUCAUCAGCAGGAGGUCGUUCUUUAAACUCUCUUAAAAUAAUUUCAUACUUAGUAGCACUAUCCAAGUGUCACUGGACCCAAUCACUAUAAUUCAUUCUCCUUAGCACUGUCCAACAAUCUCUAAUUUUACAAAAAUACUCAAGAGUGCAUCAGAGGCCAGGCGCCUCUGAUACGGGCUCACGCCUGUAAUCCCAGCACUUUGGGAGGCUGAGGCAGGCGGAUCACCUGAGGUCGGGAGUUCGAGACCAGCCUGACCAACCUGGAGAAACCCCGUCUCUACUAAAAAUACAAAAUUAGUCAGGCGUGGUGGCGCAUGCCUGUAAUCCCAGCUAAUCGGGAGGCUGAGGCAGGAGAAUCGCUUGAACCUAGGAGGCAGAGGUUGCAGUGAGCCGAGAUUGUGCCACUGCAUUCCAGCCUGGGUAACAAGAGCGAAACUCCGUCUCAAAAAAAAAAAGAAAAAAAAGUGCAUCAGAAAGAGCUUUUAGGAAGAUCCUUUUUAUUCAUAUAGAAGACAUUUUAAGACAUAUUCAAACUUUUUUUAAACAAGAAUUUAAUGGGUUCCAUGACAAUGGUCAUAUGAGGGUCAUUCCAGUAUAGUCAUGUGUAUGCUGAAUGGGUGUUAAAUCAUUUCACAAUGAAAGGAAUGUCCAUCCGUUUAAGAAAAUCUUCAAUACCAGUUUACAGCAACAACAAAAAAUGACAACAAAAACCUUUUCAUGUAUUUAAAGUUACUUGCUACUAACUCUUCAUAUAUACUAUAUUGGAAAAAUUGGUUGGAACUGACAGGCAAUUUCAUAGUAAGUUCCUAAAUAUAGCCUUGGGCCUCUUUGACACGUCUUAAGCAGGAACUAUGAUGAGUCAUUCAAAAAGUCUUGCACCUAACAGGAAAAACUUUAAUUGCACCCAGCUCUCCCUGGUAAGAAUGGGUACAGCCCAGGAACUACUGGUUCCCUCCUGGCAAGAGCAGUUGAAAAAAUCAGCUGGGGGUUGGUUGUGUAUACUCCUUUUUUAAAAUGUUUGGGCAUUCACCCAGCCCUGUGGCUAUGACAUUCUUGGGCAGGGCAUGCUGGUAGUGGAAACAGUGAAGGUUAUUCAAACCACUAAAUUCUCAGCUAUAUGGAAACUGGCUGACUUACCCCAAGCAUGAGUUCUCCAUCCUCUCCCUCACCACCUCCACUCCACAGCUAAAAUAUUAGGUCUCAGAAUAUAAAUUACUUUAGGUCUUUAUUCCACUAGGCUACUCAAAGUGAAUGUUUUUUUGUUUUUUAAAAACCCGUACUGAUCCUGAUUAUGAGGACUGUAUGGUGUUUAUAAUUAUCAAUGUAUAAAUUAUACAGAUUACAAAUAUAUAAAUACAGAAACAAAACUUCUGUAUUAGAAGGUGGUCAGAAUGAAGAUGAUACAGUUAGGGAUUUUAGUUCACAGAAAACUUCAUUAUGAUAAAGUACAUCUAGGAUCAAAGAUAAUUUGGUGUUUUUCUAGUAAUAUCAAAACAAUCAACUGGCAAACACUUUUAGGGCUGAAGAGACUUCCUAUUCUGAAGUGUGGGGCCACAAAUAUCUCACCUUAAAGUAGGGGAAGUAAAUAGGCCUCAUUUAAUGCCACAACCAAUAGAUUUGGACUGACGGCCCAUAGCACCUUGCUGAGAAAGAUUCUAAGGCUGUGUUGGUGAUUAGCAAAAAAGACUGUUUUCAUCCAUUAGUCCUGUCUGCCUCAGGUGUGGGAAUAUGGGGUGAGGGUACACUUACCCUGUAUUUGUCAUUCCUGGCUUAAACUAAUACAUUAAUUGACGCACCCAAAUUUGAAUUCAGAAUCUGUCACUUAGUAGCUAUGACGCUGUGGGUAAAUUGCUUAUUUCCUUAAGUCUCAGUUUCUUAAUUUGUAAAACAGGGAUGAUGAAAGCACAUUUUAGAGGGAUUUUUAAAAAAAUAUUUAAAUAUUUUUAAUAUUUAAAGCGGGGUCUGGGACAAGAUAUGUGCUCUAUAAAGAAAAGCUACUAUUAUUAUUAUCAUUCAUGAGUGUUUUUAAAUUAAUGGUUAAAAAAAUUUUUUUUAAGCACAAAACCCUGAAAGCCUAACAAAUAAGAUAAAAGUGAAGCUGCUGUAGUUGAGGUUUAGCUGAAGGCCCAGGGCCCCACCUACUCUGCUGUGUCCUUCCCGGACAGGCUAGAGAGGCAUCUUCAAAGAGCCCCUAGGACCCUAGAGCACAGUUUGAAAAUCCCUGAAGAAGGUUAUUUAAAAGUGAAAACAAUGCUCUCCUUUUGAGGUUCGCUCUGCAUUUGUUAGCCAGUUAGGCUUAAACAAGACAGGUCAUAGUCAGGGCAAAAUGGCCAAAUUUAAGGCAGAGGAAAAUAUACUAUGAAGAAACUAUUCAUGGAAGUAAAGUAUUCAAAAUCCAGUAGUAAAUUUACAUGGUUAACAUUAGAAUAAAAUUUAAACAUCGAGAUUAUUUUUAGCAAAUAAAAUAGGAUUCCAAUUUAUUUUAGGUUAUCUUGAAGAUACAGUGAGUCUUCAGCUUUGUCUUUAUAUCUAAAACAUGGCUAGAUGUAGUUAAAAGAAUUUAGCUAGAAAAAUAACUCCCAAGAGUUAGCCAAAGAUCAGAAGAAAGUAAGCAAAGGACUAAGUAGGAACUCAGAGAUGAAAGCAAAGAAUGUAUGGAACACUCAUCAAGCACAAACGCAAAAAGGGAAAAUAAAAAGUUCAAUCGCUUUUAAAAUUCACAUUAUAAAUAAUUAAACGAGAUUAUUUAGAUCACUCUCUACUAAAGAAAAAACAAAAGUUUUCUAAUAGAGCUAAAUAAAUAUACAUAAUCUAAAUGAUACCAAUAGUGAUGGAAUAUACCAAAUGUUCUGGAUAUAUUAAAGAAAAAAAUUAUCCAAUUAUUCACCAACUUUUCCUGCUCAAAGAAGUAAAGCCAGUUCAUAUGAAGCUGUAGUUUAUUCUGAAACCUUUCUAAAUGACAUCAACAAAUCAUGACAAUUUUUGCUUGAGGAAUAUUUUCCAUCUAUUGUGCCUCGUAAGAAUCUCCUACAUUCCCUCUCCAAUGUCCAUGACAGAGUCCUGUUCAUGAGCUAUGACUACGCUUCUCAGAAGUCUUUAAAAGCUUUCAUCUCUGAAAUUGAAAUAUAAAGGCCUUAAAUAUAUGCCAUGUUCUAAUUAUUAAUUCCAAAAUAAAAAUGCUUUAAACAUACUUAAAUUAUUAUGAUGGGACUCAAUUACAUAGUACAUCAAUCUUUAGCUUCAAUUGCUUGCGAUUUUUCUUUAAUGGUACAAUUAGGUUUUCUGUGAGUGCAUGUGGUUAAAAAAUAAAAACUGAGUCUCUUUCUUUAGCAUAUAUAAAUGCUACAUUCUGCCUUUGCAAUUACUCCAUUAGUCAUCUCCAACAAUGAAUUAUGGUGAUAAAGGAGGUACUAUUUUUUAAAAUAUGCCACUAGAAAGGACAUUAAUUACAGUAUAAUAUACUGGAAACAUUCUCAAAUCUGAUUUUUCAAGUUAUUUACAUCAUAAAUGCAGAAAACAAACUUCUACAGUGGUAAAUGCAUAUUUACCACUACAGCUAAUGCAUAUUUAUCAAUUUCCUGCUUGCAAAAAAUACUGCAUGUCUGUAUCAUUUGCACUUAGUUUCCCAACAUUUAGAAGUCUAGAGUUACACUGAUACUAUAAGGAAAUGACUUACAUUAAACAUAAAACUUACAGCAAAUUGGCAUGAUGCUACUGAGUGAUAGAUGCUUGAAGAGUAAAAACUUCCCUUUGUCACGCAUAUCAAUCAAUUGCUGCAAAUGGCAAUAAAAUGAAUCACCUAGACAGGAAGGAUGGUCUUAGGAUUCUCAGCUCUCUCAUAUUCGUAGAUUUUAUGCCAAGAGAACAAUGACAUCUAUGGUGGUAGCUUUCAAACGGCACACAAUAAGCCUUAGAAAAUGCAUUUGGGUGUUUAUUAUUAGGGAAUUUCCUAACUCAUAUUUUUAAGUUCAAAAAUUGCUAAUGAGCAUUGAUAACUUUUAGGAUGUAAAUUAGCUAGUGAGAAUAUUCAAAUUCUUCCAUCUUAGUGACACAAAUGCACUAGACAUAUACUCUUAAUGUUUUUCAAAAGAAGGACAGCAUAAAAAUAACAAAGUAGCUAUAAUUUUGAAUCUAUCCUGCUGCUAAAGAGGCGAAUGACUUGGGCUUGAGGGACUUGAAGUUUUACAAGAAUUUAAUAAUAAAUACUGAAAUAUUCCUCAUUUCUUUUAGACUAUAAUCUAAAAUGCAAUUAAAGAAAAAACCUCUCAUCAUCCCUGUAAUACAUUUUCUAAAGGAAUUGCAUAAAUUUAUGAAUGUUAAAAUUACACUGCCUUAAGUCAAUUAAUUAUGAAAUUCUUGAAUGCCUGGGAUUAAGCAACAUUUAAAUUUUGAUAUCAAACUGCAAACUUAAGAUUAAACUUGCUUCUCCAAGAUAAGUGUUAUACCAGUGCCAGCAAAUUAACAUCCUAGUUUAUAAAAAAUAAUUCUUGAUGCCUCUCUUUAAAAUGUAUUUUUGGGCAUCAAUUUUUGAUAUCAAAUAUUCAAUUCUUAGUCUUGAAAAGUAAAACAUUCAACUGAAAAAGGGUAAACAGCGUGGAUUUCUCACAUUAUUCUUACAGAAAUGAAAACAGAGGCUGGGUGUGGUGGCUUACACCAGUAAUCCUAGCACUUGGGGAGGCCGAGGCAGGAGGAUUGCAUGAGGUCAGGAGUUGGAGACCAGCCUGGACAACAUAGUGUGACCUUGUUGCUACAAAAAAUAAAAAAAAAUUAGCUGGGAGUGGUGGAGCAUGCCUGUAGUCCCAGCUACUCAGAAGGCUGAGGCAGAAGGAUCACUUGAGCUUAAGAGUUCAAGGCUACAGUGAAAUACAAUUGUGCCACUGCACUUCAGCCUGGGCAACAAAGCAAGAUCCUCUCUCAAAAGAAAGAAAGAAAACCUAGAGUAUUGUUUUUUAGGCAUAGAAAAAUUUUAAGAUCCCAAGCACUCCUCUCUCCCUUCCAAUCUCCACUGUUACAUAAACCAUUAUGUGUAGUCUCAAACUUAAUCUGAGUGGCUUCAGGGGAUGAAAUGAUUAUCCAGUGGAAGUUGUAGAGAGGCAGAUUUCCACCUGCCUCAAAUGUAGGGAAGAACUGAUAGGACCUCAAGAUAAUAUGACCUGUUAUAUGAGGUAGUAAGUGGGAGGUACACAUUUAUGGCAUGAGUUCAAGCAGAGGCUGGAUAAAGUACAGAGUAUUUGUUUCUAACAUUCCUUCAGCUCUAAGAUUCUAUUGAUCUUAGUUAACAGAGACACAUACAUGUUGAUGAGACAUGAUGAAAUCAGCUAGACACCACCUCAUCAAACAGUGUUAACAUGGCUGGCAUGCAUUAAAUAUCUUCAGAAAAGCUGAGGUUGUAAUUUUUCUGAAAGUGAUUUUACUAUGCAACAUCAGCCCAUGGUGAGACUCCGUACAGUAAAAUGUAAAUCUAAAGACCUUGAGGACAUCCAACAGAAACUAAAGAACUGUGACCCAAAUUAGGAUUGUGAUUGAAUAUCCUUUAUGCACCAAGCAAUAGUGCAUGGUAUCAUUCCAUGUUUGCAAACUCCAAAGAGAUCAGGGAUAAAAAUUACCAGAGUUUAAGCCACUGUGAUCAAUGGAAUGGAGUAACACCAAUGGAAAGAACAAUGGGAAAGAGCACGCAGCCAGGAGGAUCACUUGAGCCUAAGAGGUGAAGGCUGCAAGUGAGCUGAGAUCACUGCAUUCCAGCCUUGGUGACAGAGUGAGACCCUAUCUCAAAAAAAAAAAAAAAAAAAAAAAAAGAGUGCCCAGCAAAGAAAUAGGGGAAUAUCGAUGCUUUCAGGAUCAAAUAAGAGGAGUGUUAUCUGAAGGAAACUAGUCAUUAAUAAUGCUAAAUGCUGCAGAGUGGGGUGUGUAUUUGACAAUUAGUCACUAGUGGCCUUUUGAAGGGUAGUUCCACUAAAAUAUCGAAGACAGAAUCUAGAUUGCUAUGGGUUGGACAGUGCAUGGAAUGCCCUCAUAAUCUUAAGUGGUUAUGUUUUCCUUAGAGUUCCCUUAUAUAUCUUCCCUGAUUAUAUCUGACACUCCUGAUGGGAUAGGAUCUCAUUAAACAGGAAAAACAAUAGAAAUUUUUCUACAUCCCUUAGAACCAAACUAACUUCUGAUUAAUAUUAGCCUUAAUAUUAUGGGAAAACUCUUGGAACAAGUUAGGUCAACUUGUGUUUUAAAUAGAAAUUUUCUGACUCCAGAGUUGUGCUCAGCACUGAAUUUGUAUAUUUGGCAUGUACUUACUGAGAGCCUACUAUUCCACCAGACUGGGCAACACAAAGUCUACAAGAAAGUCCUCAAUUAGGGGUUCCAAUGGGGAAUCAGUGUGUCAUGACAUAAAGGUUUAUUAUUCAGUUUGAUAGUCUUUAGUCUUGGGAACUUUACUGAGGGCUUGAUGGAAAGUAUUUUUCAGGUCAGCUGUUUUGAUUCACAGACUUAGCAUUCUCAAGCUAUGCCCAAGAUGACUGACAAGUCUAAUUUAGUGACACCUUGUUAUGAAUGUAGAUGUUAAUCAGAUACUCAACAUUUGAAAGGCUACAGAAAGUCUAUGUUACAGUGCUCAAGGUUGAAGCAUGAUUGAAAAUAAAAGGCUCUUUUAACAUAAAUGUGGCAACAAAAGGGUCUAAAUUAGCAAAUUAUUUUUAUUAGCAAGUGAAAGUCUCCUCUCAUGAAGUUCUGAAUGUUAUUUCUGAAUCAGAUAUAUUAUUUCUUUCAUCUAGGAACCAGGGUGUUUGGUGGUGGGGGUUGGGGGGACACCUUGGGUACUGAGAUAUGGUGUAACUAAACUCCUAUUAAGGUCUUGCUGUUUAAGAAAGCUGAGAUGGUAAGGUUUUUAUCCUUUGCAGCUAAAACGAUGCCAUUAAAGUUAAGUCUCUUUGCUACUCAAGAUUUGUAACUCUGGAAAGGAAUAAUACGUUGAUGUUAGGAAGGCACAUCAUUCUUCAAUGUAUGUAUUACAGGGACAAGGUGCGGGGGAAGGGGAACCUAUAGAUCAGGGAUCAGCAAACUGUGGCUUGCUGCCUAAUUUUGUAAAUAAACACAACAACACAGCCUUACAAUUCACUUCCAUAUUGUCCAUGGAUGCUUUUAUGCCACAACAGCAGUUGAAUAGUUGUGAUGGAGACCUUAUGGCUCACCAAACCAAAGUGUCUGGCCCCUUACAGAAAGUUUGGUGAUUCCUACAUACAUCAAAUAAUCCUGACUAAAAAGCAAAAUACACCCGCAUAUACAAUAGGCAAUAAGAAAUAUAUCCAGAAUAAUAUAUUCCAACCAAUGAGAAAAUUGGAAUUUUAAACUUAUUAAACAUUUGAUAUAUUAAUUUUGGAGGAUGUAAAUAUGCUGUGCUUUUUUAAAUUAAAAAAACACAUUAAAAUUAAAUACAGAUACUUAGGCUAUCACUUUCCUUGAGAAUACUUACAGAAGCUUACGAUUUCAUCCUGUAAGGUGAUUUUUUUCUCUACCACCCCAUAAAAAGUGAAAUGAACAUUAACCUAAGUACCUGCAAUUUUAGUGAACUGCUUUAUUGGAUAGGAAAACUCCUCUACGUCUUUAAACCCUCUCCAUCAUCUACACCCCUAAAAUGGUAGGUAGACUCUACUGUGUCAGUUUCCCUGAGUAUAUACCAAGUCUUCUGAGAAAAGAGCUUUUCUAGUUCUACAGACUUAUCCAAUAUAGCUGAUGGAAACAAGCAGCACUUAAAAAAAUAUAUUCCUAUCCUAGAAAAAGACGUUAACUGACCAACUUUAAUGUCUAUGCCAGUUAAUACAAAAAUGUCAAGCACAUGCCAAAAUUAAUAGUUAACAUCUUUUUCCCAAAAGGCUGUAGUGCAUUUUUAAGGUGAAAGUAUUAUUUCCCCUCUUAUUAUGUUGAAGGGGGACAAUGUAAAGUGCUGCCUGUAUGCAUUCUUAAUCUGCACUAUUUUAUAUUUGUCUUCAUCCUGUAACCUGUUACCCCUCCCAAACACUCCUGCUUUUAAAAACUGCUGAUACAAGUCUGGGUGUGGUGGCUCAUGCCUGUAAUCCCAGCACUUUGGGAGGCUGAGGUGGUUGGAUCACCUGAGGUCGGGAGUUUGAGACCAGCCUGACCAACAUGGAGAAACCCUGUAGCUACUAAAAAUACAAAAUUAGCCAGACGUGGUGGCGUAUGCCUGUAAUCCCAGCUAUUUGGGAGGCUGAGGUAGGAGAAUCACUUGAACCCGGGAGGUGGAGGUUGUGGUGAGCCAAGAUUGCGCCAUUGCACUCCAGCCUGGGUAACAAGAGCAAAACUCCAUCAAAAAAAAAAAAAAAAAAAAAAAAGGCUAAUACAAAGGGUCUUUUUGGUAAAAUUUCCCAUUUGUCUAAUUUUUCAUCUUUUCCCAUCCCAACUGACUUGACUUGCAGUAUAGUAAUAAUUGAGAACACUAUAUACCCUAUGGUCUCCUUAUUCAUCAAAGGGC
rnacentral:lncRNA from 1 species